rnacentral:rRNA from 1 species
UGGGGAAUAUUGCACAAUGGGGGAAACCCUGAUGCAGCGACGCCGCGUGAACGAAGAAGGUAUUCGUAUCGUAAAGUUCUGUCCUAGGGGAAGAUAAUGACAGUACCAUAGAAGAAAGCUCCGGCUAAAUACGUGCCAGCAGCCGCGGUAAUACGUAUGGAGCGAGCGUUGUCCGGAAUUAUUGGGCGUAAAGGGUACGCAGGCGGUUUAAUAAGUCGAAUGUUAAAGAUCGGGGCUCAACCCCGCAAAGCAUUGGAAACUGAUAAACUUGAGUAGUGGAGAGGAAAGUGGAAUUCCUCGUGUAGUGGUGAAAUACGUAGAUAUUAGGAGGAAUACCAGUAGCGAAGGCGACUUUCUGGACACAAACUGACGCUGAGGUACGAACGCGUGGGGAGCAAACAGG